UCCCUGGUGGUCUAGCAGCUAACACACUAAGUUCCCAAUGCAGGGAGCCCAGGUUCGAUCCCUGGUCAGGGAA
rfam:Ovis aries breed Texel chromosome 3, whole genome shotgun sequence.